rnacentral:lncRNA from 1 species
UUUCUUGUAAAAUAAUUUUUAUAAAGCUAUCGGUAAAUAAUUCUUAUAGCGUAAAAAUUAAUUAUAUUUAUAUAUACUAUAAAGCAAAUAACCAAAGUAUAUAAUUACUUUUACAGUGAAACGUAGGCCCACAUCUAAUCAAAAUGCAUCAAAAGCUGAAAACCGACAACUUUUGUCGAUUCAAGUCCAAAUAAAGAUCCUUGUCAAAGUUUGCUAACUAUGAAAUUCCUCGAGCCUGAAAUGUGAGGAAAUGAGGGUGGUGAGAUUAUAAAAUCCCAGUGAGUAAACAAAUAUCAUUUAAAAUAUCUAAAGGUGAAUAAAAGAAGACUAUUAAAAUAUUUCAUCAAACUGUAAUUUAUCAUCUUUCAACUUAUUUCAACCAAAUGAAAUCAAUUUAUUUAAAUCAAGUAAUCAGUAUGGCUUGUCAAUUUCUUAAAAAGCUUGGCUCAUGCAAAAAAUUAUUAUCAUACUCAGUUAUCUAGAAUACCUUGGUCGAGGGCUAUCCCAACUGAGUCCGUCAAGGCUAUUCGAAAGUCAUGUUUUUAUUUUGAAAACAUAACCGUUCCUUGGCGUUGGCCGAGUUCCCCCUCACAUGGUGGUUUGACGUGGAGUGAACUCUAAAAGUUAUACCUCGAGAGUUACCUUACUCGCCUCUCCAACCGAGGUAAAAUAUAAUAGGAUUCUGUACCCCUCUAAUAGGCUAGUCCACAAAACCUAACCCACUGCAACAGGUCAAAACCACCAUACAAUAAAAUUUUGACAGCAUGACAAGGCUAAUAUAUUACUACCCAGCCUGUAGGGAUAAAAUAAAGCAAUUCAUACAAUUCAUAAAACACAGCCCAGCUAGUCAUGCCAAUACAAUAACAUAAGCCAUCAAUUAAAUUUUAAAUUUACAACAUAUCAGUGGUCUCCAAUUACUCUAUUUUCAAAAUCGUUAUUUCGUUUCAAGACAAUUUAUAAAAUAUUUUCAUUUAAACUCAUUUUUGUUUAUAAAACCUAAAAUUAACCAUUUAAAAUCAUUUUCAUACAAUUUCACCAAAACCGAAUUAAAACAUACUUUAGAUAAUUAAAAUGAUGAUAAGGUUACUCACAGUACUAGGAGUUCGAUAUACUCCUAUUUUCGAUCUUCGAGCACAAUCUCUUUACCUUUGUUAGAGGGCUCACCACCUUGACACAGUACAAAAUCGAGAAACUUACUACAUUGGUACUAAAUUGAAAUUAAAUUAAUUUAAACUACUAAUGCAUGAUAUGGAAUGCAAAAUGUCCGAUUAAUCGCUUAAAUGUGAUCUUCGACCUAAAUCACACUAUACUCGGUCUAAUCGGCUAAAAUCUCCAAUUUAACUCUAAAUCAAUUCUUAUCACUAUCUACACUCCAAUUAUACCUAAAUUACCUCAGUGAUUGUGAAUGAGAUUCAAUUUAUCAGUCCCGGAUCAAUAAUCACACUUAUCUAUACAUUGAGCAAAAAUUCAGAUUUUCACACCAAAAUUUCCCAUUUAAUUUCUAGUCUCACCAAACAUCAAAUAUCACCAAAAUAUCAUGAAAUAUCAUCAAUUUCAGCCACAAUAUCCUCCCUAGGAAAUUCGACCAUUGAUUGUUGAUGGGGAAAAUGAAUUCUUUUCUUAUUGUUUUGUUUCUAAAUAUGCAAAACUAACUAAAAACACUAACAUAACUUAAAAUCAAAUCAAUCUAACAUCUUUUUCUCUCCAUACCCAUUUUGACCAGCCAUGAAUUCACCAUGAAAACAUGAAAUCUAACCAUGAAAAAUAAGGAGAAAUGCAUGGGAAAGGUAUAUCACAAGUCAAAAUCAAGAAAUUUUACCUUUGAUUGAUUGAUUACUUAAAAUCCAUCAAUUUUCCCUUGAAUUUUCCCACCUAGGAUUCUUGUUCUUCUUUUCCUCUCUUUGUUCUUGCUAUGGCCGGC